UUCUUGAACUUGGUUGAUGGCACC
rnacentral:siRNA from 1 species